rnacentral:rRNA from 1 species
GUUAGCUUCGGCACAGAGUCCUACGGGAGGCAGCAGCAAGGAAUCUUGGGCAAUGGGCGAAAGCCUGACCCAGCAACGCCGCGUGAGGGAUGAAGGCUUUCGGGUUGUAAACCUCUUUUCACAGGGAAGAAUAAUGACGGUACCUGUGGAAUAAGCUUCGGCUAACUACGUGCCAGCAGCCGCGGUAAUACGUAGGAAGCAAGCGUUAUCCGGAUUUAUUGGGCGUAAAGUGAGCGUAGGUGGUCUUUCAAGUUGGAUGUGAAAUUUCCCGGCUCAACCGGGACGAGUCAUUCAAUACUGUUGGACUAGAGUACAGCAGGAGAAAACGGAAUUCCCGGUGUAGUGGUAAAAUGCGUAGAUAUCGGGAGGAACACCAGAGGCGAAGGCGGUUUUCUAGGUUGUCACUGACACUGAGGCUCGAAAGCGUGGGGAGCGAACAGAAUUAGAUACUCUGGUAGUCCACGCCUUAAACUAUGGACACUAGGUAUAGGGAGUAUCGACCCUCUCUGUGCCGAAGC